UACGUAGGGACCAAGCGUUGUUCGGAUUUACUGGGCGGAAAGGGCGCGUAGGCGGCGUGACAAGUCACUUGUGAAAUCUCCGGGCUUAACUCGGAACGGUCAAGUGAUACUGUUGUGCUAGAGUACAGAAGGGGCAAUCGGAAUUCUUGGUGUAGCGGUGAAAUGCGUAGAUAUCGGGAGGAACACCAGUGGCGAAGGCGACUACCUGGCCUGUUCUUGACGCUGAGGCGCGAAAGCUAGGGGAGCAAACGGG
rnacentral:rRNA from 1 species